ensembl:lncRNA
CAGCACCAUCAGAUAAGCUAAAAUAAUACUAGCUAUAUGAACAUUGAAGGAAAAAUAGGAAUAGGAAUUACAUUAACUCAAAUUAUUGAGAGAAUAUAAUUCAUGUAAAUGUCACAAUCCCCAUGAAUUAAGGCAAUUCACACUUUUUACCUAAAUACAUAUUUUGAUAUAUGAAAUGAAAUAUUUUUCUUCGUAAAUAUAAGUAAUUCUUACAAGAGGACCUUGUAUAUUUUGUAUACUGUGAUAAUUAAACAGUUUCAUUAAAUGGCAUCCUCCUGCUAACCAAACAAGCUCACAUUUUUUUGCAGCCAGGUGUUCACAAAGAGCAGAGACCUUGAGAUUUCAUCUAUUGCUUUCGCACUAACGCAACAAAGGCACUCGUAAGCCGAUGACGAACAAGAGUGAUGCAGUCUUGAUAUGAGUCGUGUAUUGUCAACAUUUCGCAAGUAGUGAAGCGGUAAAGCUCCUCUCGUGGUCUGACUGUGAUUCGCUCACUGGUCGCUGAACUGUCAGCAGCUCGAGCGACGAUAAGAGCCACUCACGGCUCUUGUGAUGUUCCCUCAUCUCAACUUGUAAUGUUUUGCUCCUCUGUCAACACCGUGUCCGAAGUGACAGUUUGACUGAGUUUACUUUUACGCGCUUGUGAAAAAAGCAGGAGAACUUUACGGAUUGCAAAGUUUUUAUUUCCAUGGUAUACUACGAACAUUCACGGAAGAAAAAGCAGCUGAGAUGGACGCCCCAAAAUUGGUUUUAUUGGUUUCAACAUUGAGCUCCUUGUUUUCCCCGAAUGCGAUAUAUCCUCUCAACCAAUCGCAGAGCACCAUUCCACGCACUCUAGACACUAAUGGCGGCGCUUUGAAUACAACCGGCAUCCUAGUUUUCCUCAUCUACUUUGUGAUCAACAAACAAGGGCUGCACGAUAAAGCGCAUGUGAUUGUCAUCCACAUCUCUUCUGUAAAGCCGGUUAUGUGAUUAAUAGUACCGGACCGGUAAAUCUCAUUCACAUGCUUUCAGAUGGAAAUUAUUCAG